CAGAGAAUCAAAAGGAGACUUGAGACUGAACUACAGAGAUGGUGAAGCCUCCUUGCAGCCUAGAGAGAUGCCUGGAGAGUCCUCGGGCUCUGAUUGGGCAGCUCCUUAGCCAUGGGUGGGAGUAAGAGGAGAACUUCCUGUUUGAAUGGUAGGGUUCCUUGGAACAAGUUCUGGUCCAAUGAUUCCAGCUGUUUGCUGUCUCCCUUUCACCUAGUCAGCCCCCAGCUGUCCCAGGCGUGCAGGCUUUGCUGGUUCCUCAAGUUCCUGCUGACUGCCCAAGAUGAGCCCAGGAGACCAAGUGAUGGUGGUCAACCCCCUGAUACCUGGAUCCCAGGUGUCUGUGAUAUUUGAUGAUGUGGCUGUGUACCUCACCCAGGAGGAAUGAGGUUGCCUGGGUCCUGUUCAAAGGGGUCUCUAUAAGGAUGUGAUGCUGGAAAAUUAUGGAAACCUAGUCUCACUCGGAUUUCCAAUAUCCAAACCUGAUAUGAUCUCCCAGCUGGAGCAAGGGGAAGAACCAUGGGUUCUGAACUCUCGACAGAGGGUAGAAGAGACAGAUAUUUUGAGAGGCAACUGUUCAGAUUGUGUAACCAGGAUUCAGAACAUAGAACUAUCUCUAAAGAAAGAAAUUUCAGAAGAAAUGGAAUCUCAGUGGCUGAGAGAAGAAAAACUCAUAAAGGAUAUUUCCAAAGGACUAUGUCUUGGAGAAACCUGGGAAAGUCAGGCCAUAUUAUGGAAAAAUGAAAGUCUUACCAUGGAGAGAUUGAAGAAAUCACCUUCUAAGGAGAACAGUUUCAGGCCAAUGUUAAUCAAUCACCCAGGAGAAAAUCUCCAUAGCUGAGGAAGGGCAGAAAUAUGACAGAUGUGGAAGAAACUGGAAUCUGAAUUCAAACACUGUUUCAUGCCAAGGAUUUUCUAUAAGAGAGGAACUCCAUAAAUGUGAUGCACGUGAUCAAAACUUCAAACAUAAUUCACAUGUUAAUAAUAUAUCUAAAAAGCCAUGUAAAUAUAAUGAAUCAGGAAACUUCGUUCAUUGGAGUUCAGCCCUUAAAGUACAUCAGAAAAUUCAUUUUGGAGGAAAACCUCAUGAAUGUAAUGAAUGUGGGAAAGCCUUCAAAGGGAAUACAGACCUUGUUAGACAUCAGAGGUAUAACACUGUUGAGAAGCCCUAUGAGUGUAGUGAAUGUGAGAAAGCUUUCAUUCAGAUCUCUAACCUUAUACAGCAUCAGAGAAUUUAUACUGGAGAGAAACCCUACAAAUGUAGUCAAUGUGGGAAAGCUUUCAUUCAGAGUUCUAACCUGAUUCAACAUUGCAGAAAAUGCCAUGGAGAAAAACCCUAUGAAUGUACUUGUGAAUUUUAAAAUCUCCAUCUUGGUCUAGCACCCAAAAUUGUGCACACCCACACUACAUGGGCAUGUGCUAGUCAAUGACAAAUCAGAAAUAACUAACUGGCCACCUGGGCUGUCCUAAGCCAAGCUUGAGCCAUCAUUGGCACUUGUGAGGCACAGGAAGUGACGGAGAGAGCAGCCUCGGGAAUUCGCUCACUUCCUGUGGACAGGGCAAGACGGCGGUUCAUGUUAGAAGCUUGAACAGGGAGGAGGCCCACAGACAGCUUCCCUUCAGAUCGGUCACAUGAGUCAAGGACUGAUUCCUUCCACCUUGGCCCUUUGGGCCUAAACUCCCUCUGCCUUGGUAAGAGGUUGAGUAACCCCUUUCCCUUUUCUCCUCUCUCCUUCUCUCCCUCACCUUUUCCCUACUCCCAUUGUGAUUAAACCUCCAUAAACUCCAUUCUGACUUGAGUGUUUCAUUUUAGGAAUUUCAUAAGUAAAUUCCUUGGUGGCCAUAGUUCAAUAUUAUAACAAUCUUAAAAGGUGAAAUUUUCACUACAACAUAUUGAAUGUGGGAAAGCCUUCAGUGAAUGCUCAAUUCUUAUUGAACAUCAUAGAAUUCAUACUGGAGAAAAACCCUAUGUAUGCAAUGAAUGUGGGAGAGCCUUUGUCCAGAGCUCAAACCUUAGUCAACAUCAGAGAAUUCAUACUGGAGAAAAACCCUAUGUAUGUAGCCAAUGUGGAAAAGCCUUCAGGCAAAGCACUAAUCUUAUUCAACAUCAGAGAACACAUAAUAAAGAGAAACCCUAUGAAUGUAGUGAAUGUGGG
rnacentral:lncRNA from 1 species